CUCCAGGAAGCAGCUCCCCUGUCCUCGCGCAAUGCUGUGUGGAGCGUUGCCAUGGUAACGCGCGGCAACGCUCCACACAGCAUCGCACGGGAGGACAGGGGAGCUGCUUCCUGGAG
rnacentral:miRNA from 1 species